rnacentral:tRNA from 1 species
AGUAGCUCAGUUGGUUAGAGCACCUGACUGUUAAUCAGGGGGUCCUAGGUUCAAGUCCUAG